rnacentral:rRNA from 1 species
GGAGGUAGUGACAAUAAAUCACAAUGCGGAACUUUUGUUUUGCAAUUGGAUUGAGAACAACGCACAACACUUAUCGAUAAACAAUUGGAGGGCAAGUCUGGUGCCAGCAGCCGCGGUAAUUCCAGCUCCAAUAGCGUAUAUUAACGUUGUUGCAGUUAAAAAGCUCGUAGUUGAAGUGAAGUAAUGAAGUUGUGAUUUGAAAUUUUCAUUUCGCUUCUUAAUUACUCUUUCCAAAUUGUUUGCAUGGGUAUUCAUUUAUCUGUGUAUUGCAUUUGGUCAUUUACUGUGAGAAAAUUAGAGUGUUCAAAGCAUACGUUUGUUUGAAUACAUUAGCAUGGAAUAAUUCGAAAAGGCUUUCAUGUUCGAUUUGAUUGGUUUGUUCGUGAGAGCAAGAUUAAAAGGGACAGUUGGGGGUAUUCAUAUUCAAUAGUCAGAGGUGAAAUUCUCGGAUUUAUGGAAGAUGAACAAGUGCGAAAGCA